rnacentral:rRNA from 1 species
AUUUGUGGCCAAACUUCCUUGUCAAUGCCUGAGCUUGUCAAAUCUCAGAAGCUAAACUGGGCUGGGCCUGGUUAGUACAUGGAUGGGAGGCCACUGGGAAUAUCAGGUGCCACAAUGG